UACGUAGGGUGCGAGCGUUUGUCCGGAAUUAUUGGGCGUAAAGGGCUCGUAGGCGGUCUGUCGCGUCGGCUGUGAAAUCCCGAGGCUCAACCUCGGGUCUGCAGUCGAUACGGGCAAACUAGAGUAUUGCAGGGGAGACUGGAAUUCCUGGUGUAGCGGUGAAAUGCGCAGAUAUCAGGAGGAACACCGGUGGCGAAGGCGGGUCUCUGGGCAAUAACUGACGCUGAGGAGCGAAAGCGUGGGGAGCGAACAGG
rnacentral:rRNA from 1 species